AAGGAAGCUUUAGGAUUGCAAACUAAAGCCAAAACCAAGGAAUCUGAAUUUGAAAAACCAAUAAAUUCAGCAUCAGCAGGGGCUAUUGGUGGUAGGUGACAUUACUAAAGCUGCAGAAGCUGCACUAAAGUUGGAGCGUGAAAGAUUAAAAAAGUUGGAAGACUUGGAUGAAGGAAACAAGGCAUUAGGAUUGAAUGUAAAUAAGGAGGUUUCUACUAGUGUGAAAAAGUUAUUGAGGGAAUCGUCUGGCCAGUACAGCGACUUCAGUAUUCUUUCCUCUUUAAAUUCUCAGGUAAAUCAUGUAACUUACUGUUUGUUUAGUAGGAUAUAUGUUUUUAUAUAUAUAUCUAUAAUAUUUUAGGUGAAAAUUUAUGAUCUUUAAGAAAGUGUUAGAUGGCACUAGAUGCAUUAGAUCAAUCCAUAUGUGUUGUUUUAGGUUCAGAUCACUUCCAGGACUUGUCAACCAAACCCAAAGGGAUAUCAUAGAAUGUAAUGUCUGCUUUUAUUAGCCUUUUCAUUCUUCCUUUUUAUACACAUUACUAUAUUGAAGUCAUAGGUUGUCUAUGAUUUUUCAUGCUUACGUUUGACACUUCUAUCAGAUAAUAGUACAUAUUCUUUGAUUGCUUGAUUGAUGCUUUUGAAAGUAUAAUACAGAUAUAUUUAAUAAGAGCUAAUAAUUUCAUUAAUGCAACAUGGAUGACUAUAGCUGCCACUUUAAUAAGUUCUAAUCUUCCAGUUUUAUCAGAUACUAUAUUGUGCAGUGACAUAAUAUAUCAAGUGACCGAUUACACACAUGCAUAGGCACACACUGACACCUAUACUUGGAUUGAUUGAUAAAAUCUUAUAAUUUCAUUACUUCCAACAUAGAAACCUAGAAUUACAACUUUCAUGCAUUUUUAAUUAAUACAAGGCAAUUUGGUUCUAUUUUUUUUUAUAAAAGCCCUAGAAUUACCACUUUAAGUAAUUGAUGGUGUGAUUCCAUUAUUACACUCGAAUAUUACAGGUGUGUAGAUGUGACUGGAGCUUACACUGCUCUAAAGACGGAGCUUAACAUAAGCUUGACAG